rnacentral:misc_RNA from 1 species
UUCAACUGCUUGUGCUACCUCCAAUUAUUGCUUUUAUGCUGCUGCGAAUCAUAUUCGCCGGGGUGAGGCCGAUGUAAUGAUUGCUGGUGGAACAGAAGCUGCAGUUAUUCCUAUUGGUAUUGGGGGUUUUGUUGCUUGUAGAGCUUUAUCACAGAGAAAUGAUGAUCCACAAACUGCAUCAAGGCCAUGGGACAAGGGCAGAGAUGGCUUUGUUAUGGGUGAGGGUGCUGGAGUGCUGGUACUGGAAAGUUUGGAACAUGCAAUGAAACGAGGUGCACACAUUAUUGCCGAG